UCCAGAUCUGCGUCCCGGUCCGUGGGUGAGCCAUGAGCAUGCCACCGCUCCGGCCUUCCCCCCGCAGCCACACGGACGCUCGUUCCUCACCAGCAAGAUGUAUUUCAACCGGAGAGCCAAGAAGAUACACAGCGAGGGAGAGCAUUUAGUGUUGACCACCAUUAGGCAGGAGGCCUCUGAACCGCAGGACCCAGGCCAGGGCGCCGGCGUCAUGCGCGCCCGCCUCACAGACAGGUUUGAAAAAACCUCGCCUCUCUCCCAUCAAUCCAACGGUGCAGGACCCGCUUGCUCGUCCGCCGGUUACCGCAAGGCAGACGAUGAGAUGUCCGGGACCACUUCCCAGGCGGAUCCCGUAGACGCCACUGCGCGGACGGUGCUGCUCAACCGGCCAGAGAAUACCAAGUUCUGCGACAACCAUGUCAGUACCACCAAGUAUGGGAUUCUCACCUUUCUGCCCCGGUUCCUGUAUGAGCAGAUCAGGAGGGCUGCCAAUGCCUUCUUUCUGUUCAUCGCACUCAUGCAGCAAAUCCCCGAUGUGUCACCGACCGGCCGCUACACCACGCUGGUCCCUCUCAUAUUCAUCCUCACUGUGGCCGGGAUCAAAGAGAUCAUAGAGGACUACAAGAGGCACAAAGCUGACAACACGGUCAACAAGAAGAAGACAACAGUGCUGCGGAAUGGAGCUUGGCAGACGGUUAUCUGGAAACAGGUGGCAGUAGGAGACAUAGUCAAGGUGACCAAUGGGCAGCACCUUCCAGCGGACAUGGUUAUUGUGUCCUCCAGCGAGCCACAGGCCAUGUGUUACACCGAGACCUCUAACCUGGACGGAGAAACCAACCUGAAGAUCCGACAGGGUCUCCCACUCACGGCCAGUUUUCAGACUCUGGAGGAUUUGAUGGCACUGUCCGGUUGUUUGGAGUGUGAAGGCCCGAACAGACAUCUCUAUGAUUUCACUGGCACACUGAGGCUGGAAAACCAAAAUCCAGCUCCCCUGGGUCCAGACCAGGUGUUGCUGCGAGGCGCCCAGCUCAGAAACACACAGUGGGUUGUGGGAAUUGUUGUUUACACUGGUCAUGACUCCAAACUGAUGCAGAACUCCACCAAGGCGCCGCUGAAGCGCUCUAAUGUGGAGCGGGUGACCAACAUGCAGAUCCUGGUCCUGUUUGGCAUCCUGCUAGUCAUGGCACUGGUCAGCUCCGUGGGCGCUGCCAUCUGGAACAAAGAACACACUGAAGACGCCUGCUGGUACCUGUCCCGGGCUGGGGACAUCUCUACAAACUUUGCGUACAACCUGCUGACGUUCAUCAUCCUGUACAAUAACCUGAUCCCCAUCAGCCUGCUGGUCACUCUGGAGGUGGUUAAGUUCACGCAGGCGCUCUUCAUCAACUGGGAUGUGGAGAUGUACUACGCGGAGACAGACACACCGGCCAUGGCUCGAACAUCAAAUCUUAAUGAGGAACUGGGCCAGGUGAAGUAUCUCUUUUCCGACAAAACAGGAACUCUGACCUGUAACGUGAUGCACUUCAAGAAGUGUACGAUUGCAGGCAUCACAUAUGGCCACUUCCCUGACCUUGACUGUGAUCGUUCAAUGGAGGACUUUAGCAAUCUGCCGUCCAGCAGCAACAACUCAACAGAGUUUGACGACCCGGCUCUUAUUCAGAACAUCGAGAAGAACCAUCCUACAUCACCUCAGAUCUGUGAGUUCUUGACAAUGAUGGCAGUCUGCCAUACGGUGGUGCCAGAAAGGGAGGAAGACCAGAUCAUCUACCAGGCGUCCUCACCAGACGAGGGAGCUCUGGUCAAAGGGGCCAAAGGACUUGGAUUCGUCUUCACUGCGAGGACACCGCAUUCAGUCAUCAUUGAAGCUAGAGGAAAAGAGAUGAGCUACGAACUACUGAACGUGCUGGAGUUUUCCAGUAACCGUAAACGCAUGUCUGUGGUGGUGAGGACGCCCGACGGGAAGCUACGGCUCUACUGCAAAGGAGCAGAUAAUGUCAUUUUCGAGCGCCUGACUGAAGCGUCUCAGUAUAAAGAAAUCACUGUGGCUCAUCUGGAGCAGUUUGCUACUGAAGGUCUGAGGACGCUGUGUUUUGCAUACGUGGACCUGGAGGAAGGUGCCUAUCAGGAGUGGCUGAAGGAAUACAUUCGUAUCAGCACCGUACUCAAAGACCGCGCUCAGAAACUAGAGGAGUGUUACGAACUACUGGAAAAGAAUUUAAUGUUGCUGGGUGCCACAGCCAUAGAGGACCGUCUCCAGGCCGGCGUACCAGAAACCAUCGCCACUCUGAUGAGGGCUGACAUUAAGAUCUGGGUCCUCACUGGAGACAAGCAGGAGACCGCCAUCAACAUAGGUUACUCCUGCCGCUUGGUGACACACGGCAUGUCCCUCAUCAUCGUCAACGAGGACUCUCUGGACGCUACUCGUGCCACGCUGACGACUCAUUGUUCAGCUCUGGGCGACUCACUGAGGAAAGAGAACGAGCUGGCGCUGAUCAUCGAUGGCCAGACGCUGAAAUAUGCCCUGUCCUUCGAGCUCCGCCAGGCCUUCCUUGACUUGGCAUUGUCCUGCAAAGCUGUCAUCUGCUGCCGAGUGUCUCCGCUGCAGAAGUCCGAAAUUGUGGACAUGGUGAAGAAACACGUGAAAGCCAUCACGCUGGCGAUAGGCGACGGCGCCAACGACGUGGGGAUGAUUCAGACGGCCCACGUCGGAGUCGGGAUCAGCGGCAACGAGGGCAUGCAGGCCACCAACUCUUCUGACUACUCUAUAGCACAGUUCUCCUACCUCGAGAAGCUUCUGUUGGUCCACGGUGCGUGGAGCUACAACCGGGUCACAAAGUGCAUCCUCUACUGUUUCUAUAAGAAUGUGGUCCUCUAUAUAAUAGAGCUCUGGUUCGCUUUUGUGAACGGCUUCUCUGGCCAGAUCCUCUUUGAGCGCUGGUGUAUAGGCCUCUACAAUGUGAUAUUUACUGCACUGCCUCCGUUCACUCUGGGGAUUUUCGACCGGCCGUGCAGCCAGCAGAACAUGCUGCGGUUCCCACAGCUCUAUCGGAUAACCCAGAACGCCGAGGGUUUCAACACCAAGGUGUUCUGGGGACACUGCAUCAAUGCACUGAUUCAUUCAAUUAUCCUCUUCUGGUUUCCGCUCAAAAUGUUAGAGCACGACUCUCCCUUCAAUAACGGUCAAGGAAACGACUACCUGUUUGCAGGAAAUAUGGUCUACACGUAUGUUGUAGUUACAGUGUGUCUGAAAGCUGGAAUGGAGACCACCGCUUGGACCAAGUUUUCUCACCUGGCGGUGUGGGGAAGCAUGGUGCUCUGGAUGGUCUUCUUCGCCGUGUACUCCGUCAUCUGGCCCACGUUCCCCAUCGCCCCCGACAUGCUGGGCCAGGCUGGCAAGGUGAUGCAGUGCUGGCACUUCUGGCUGGGCCUGGUCCUGGUGCCUACUGCGUGUUUACUCAAAGACUUCGCUUGGACAGCCACGCGUCGAACUGUGAGGAAGUCUCUGCUGGAGGAGGUGCAGGAGCUGGAGGCGCGGGCCGUUGACCCGGGCGCGGCCGUGCUUAGAGACGCCAGCGGCCGCAGGUGGAUCAAUUUGCACUGCUGCACAGACCUGUCUAAACGAACGAGCCCAUCUGCUGACAAGAGUCUUUAGGAAAACACCUUCAAGCAUCGGACGCUCCAACUCCGUGCAGCAGACUGUGACACACGGCUACGCCUUCUCUCAGGAGGAGCACGGCGUGGUGUCCCAAUCCCAGGUAGUGCGCUCCUACGACACCACCCGCCAGCGCCCCAGCAUCUAGCCCCCCCUCCGCACCGACCCCCGAUCAAGGCUUUAGCUCACCGUAGCAGCGGUUGUCAUGGCGACAGCAGAGAGAGAGAGAGAGAGAGAGAGAGACUUUACGUGGCGCUCUCACGCCGGGCGACCGACCCCUGCUGUGGCCUUACUGGAACUGUGACCUGACCUCCCCGCGAGGGGGUGGGGGUCACGGUCAGGCGUGGAGGCCGUCGCUGGCGCUCGGGAUGACUGACUCGGGAGAAAGGCACCAGGCCCCGAAACAUACGGAAUAAACCAUCUAACAAAGGCUGCACAGGCAUGAGCAAUCAUAUUCACGCACAGGCAUGACCAGUCAAACUCAGAGACUGCUACUCAUAUCCGUAUAACCCCCUCAGACUGGGUUUGCUUCAUGUCGCCGUGUGUGUCGACGCGUCCGUAUCUGCCUGUGCAUGUGUGUGUCUGCAAGCAUCCGCGCUCAACGUGUUUUGUGUGUGUGUGCGUGUGUCGGUCCACGCGUCUUAGCUUCCUCGGUUACCUCUCACUUCUGGGUCCAGCUCGUCCGCCAUCGCGCACACACUCACACACACAUAUACAAGUCGCUGAUGAGUUUCUUAAAAACAGAGAGGAGGGAGGCAUGGACCGGUGACCCGCCGGAGCCCCGAGGCCUCACUGCCAAACACCACAGAGACGCCACUGAGGCAGAACCCCCCCCCACCCCCACCCUCUCCGACACUGGACCGCCACCCUGCAACUGCAACCCCACCAGGACUUCCUCUUCCUUAUCUCCCCCCCACCCUCCUCAUCUCUCCACCUCACAGCCGCUCUGCAGCCUCCAUGUCUCUCCUCCUCCGCGGCCCACCUCAGGUUUUAAAAAUCAUCUUUUUAGCUUUUCCCCCUGUUUUAAUUCUGACCGCUCCUGUGAUUCCUGAAGCCGCCUGUUUGGUACCGUCAGCUGACGCAGCAUGCCUGGCAUUAGCGAUUCCUCCUUUCAGUUCUGUUCGGAUCCCCGACUCUUCACCGGACUGUUUUCUUUCAGGUUUUUUUUUUUUUUUUUUUAUCAUUAAAAGUGGACAUUAACGUGUUUGUGUUUAUAUAUAUUAUUUUUUUUUUCUUCCUCGUUUCAUUAACGCCUGUUUUUGUACUCAUACGUGGGGAUGUGUCUUACAGGGAACAUUUUACUUGAACUAGUCCUAAUAGGAAUCCGAACAGAAGGAAUUUGAUUGCGACUCUCUCAUGGGUCAUGUGUUUUUUCUGGCUCCGGGUUUUGUCUGAAUGUAGAGUCCAUUGUCUGUGCUCUGUGUUGAGGACGCUCUGGUUUAGGAAUGCAAGACUGAAGGGUGGGGAGAGGGAGGGUGGGGAGGGAGGGAGGGAGGGAGGGGGGGGAGUGGUGGGGGUGUCCAUCCAAGUCCUAAUCAUUAAAUCUAAUCAAUCCAUGGCCUGACCAAAUGUCUUUGUGUUUUCACUGUAAGUGCAUACUCAAGCAAUCAAGUCGAGGGGGUUUUAAGUCCAACUGUAGCUGCAGGGAAACCAGCAGGAGUUUACAUUUCAGCCUGAAAAUAGAAGUCACAUAUGAUUUUAUAAAUUAACAGAAUCCAUCCUCUCCCACGCUCCCUCUUUAAUCUCAGGAGAAUCGGCGUAGACGCACCAUUAGCAGAUUAAUCCCCCACCCCACACACACACACACACAUCUUGGAGAUCCCUUUCCUGCCCACCUUCCUGGAUGUGGCCCAACCCAAACCAACCACAGCUGCUCCAAUAUGGAGAAUCCAUCGGGCCAUUUAUGCUUUUCAUCUCCUCCCCGGUGGCUCUCCAACUGCUCUCCCUCCGCUUUUCACAUUACUGCAGCGCCGGGUUCGUGGAGGAGGCCUGCCAAAACUACACCUCCAUGUCGUCAUAGUUUUGAGCAGUCCAUUGUUGUGGUUUAUUGUUUCUCCUCUCCCCGUGUCGGGUGAUGUGACAGGUAUUCGCUCGGUCCUCUGUGGGUGGUAGCCCCGUCUGUGAAUGCAUAUAAUGUUUCUGAUGGCUUAAGUAUGUGUGUCUUUGUGCGAGUUUUAAGGGGAUUAAGACGAUCCAUUCACCACCGUUUUUGUUUGCCAAGCCUCAUCUCCAAGUGUUUAAGUAUCCCCAUUAACCUUGUUUCAUGGGGACACUGUUUUAUAUCGGUACAAGAUAAGACACUUUUCUUCUUUUUACAACGUGUUUAUUUUUUUUUUUCAAAUUCAUUAGAAAAAGUCGCACCUGCAUCAUAUUGCUGAAUUUCACCGUAAGUACUGAACACAUUGAGCCUAAAAUGAAUCCGUCAUGACCUGCACACACACACACACAUACACGCAUACACACACACAUACACGCACACACCGGUUUCAGUACCUGGUGAUAUCUCAGGCUCCACGCUCAGUGAAGCAGCACAUUCCUCAAGUUGCAUGUUCCUCUGUGAUUGAGCUGCACACAAAACAGCUAAAAAAAAAAAAUUUGAUUAACAAGCAAAAACUGCCACUUCUAUGUCUUUUUUCUUUUUCUUUUUUAAGUGGAAAAUAAUGAGUCAUAGCUGCCCUGGAGCUGCCUGUACUAACGCACUGAACUGUGGUAGCGUUAAAUACACACUCGCACACCUCUCACAGGAGAGAAGUAAAAAGGGGGGCAGCUGGGAGAGAUUUUGCUGUAUAAUUAACUUGGUAAUCUUCAGAGAACGGCCUCUUGCUCCUCUGUCGCACACUUCCAAGGAACAUUAACAGCCAGCCUUGUGUGAAUAUUGUCAUCUUUGGGUCCUGUGAGUGUGUUUCCGCUCAGGGCAGUUGGGGUUUUGUGUGUGUGUGUGUGUGUUUUUUUUUUUCUUUUUUCUUUCAAGGUGGCAGGAGGAGGAGGAGUGGGGAGGUGGGGUUGUGUAGUAGGGUGGAGUGUCACAGUCGGUGUCCUGUGUUCACUUCAUUACAGUUUAAAUAGCCUACAGGGAGACCGCGGCUGCCUUUCACAUCACACCACCUGCAUUUCCCAUUACACACUCACGGGUUACUCACUCGACUACAUCCCUCCACACGCGUACGAUUUCAAACAUCCAUCCGCAAGCGUUCCUUCCUCAUACUUUCAACACAAACAAAAAUAUAUUGUACUGUAUAAACCGCUCCUCACAUUCACUCAUAGCACAGAUGUGCACAUGGCAUUAACACAGCAUGUGGUCAUAUUCUUUUUUUUUUUUUUUUUUUUAACUCGAAA